rnacentral:misc_RNA from 1 species
GAUGAAGAACGCAGCGAAAUGCGAUAGGUAAUGUGAAUUGCAGAAUUCAGUGAAUCAUCGAAUCUUUGAACGCACAUUGCGCCCUUUGGUAUUCCUUAGGGCAUGCCUGUUCGAGCGUCAUUUAAACCUUCAAGCUAAGCUUGGUGUUGGGUGACUGUCCGCUUCACGGCGGACUCGCCUCAAAAUUAUUGGCGGCCGGUACAUUGGCUUCGAGCGCAGCAGAAACGCGAACUCGGGCCCGUCGUAUUGGCUCCCAGAAGCUAUCUUCACAAUUUUGACCUCGGAUCAGGUAGGGAUACCCGCUGAACUUAAGCAUAUCAAUAAGCGGAGGA